UGGCUUGAGCAUUUGAAAUCCCAAAGCC
rnacentral:piRNA from 1 species